rnacentral:rRNA from 1 species
CAGGAUGAACGCUAGCGGCAGGCUUAACACAUGCAAGUCGAGGGGCAGCGGGAUGUAGCAAUACAUUGCCGGCGACCGGCGGAUGGGUGCGUAACGCGUAUGCAACCUACCUUAUACAGGGGAAUAACCUUUCGAAAGGGAGACUAACACCCCAUAGUAUUGAUUUAAGGCAUCUUAGAUUAAUUAAAUAUUUAUAGGUAUAAGAUGGGCAUGCGUAUGAUUAGCUAGUUGGUAAGGUAACGGCUUACCAAGGCGACGAUCAUUAGGGGCUCUGAGAGGAAGGUCCCCCACACUGGUACUGAGACACGGACCAGACUCCUACGGGAGGCAGCAGUGAGGAAUAUUGGUCAAUGGGCGCAAGCCUGAACCAGCCAUGCCGCGUGCCAGGAAGACGGCCUUAUGGGUUGUAAACUGCUUUUACAUAAGACUAACCGUAUAUUUGCGAAUAUACCUGAAUGUAUUAUGAGAAUAAGGAUCGGCUAACUCCGUGCCAGCAGCGGC